UAUUUAUUUAUUUAUUUAUUUUGCGGUACGCGGGCCUCUCACUGCUGUGGCCUCUCCUGUUGCGGAGCACAGGCUCCGUACGCGCAGGCUCAGCGGCCAUGGCUCACGGGCCCAGCCGCUCCGCAGCAUGUGGGAUCCUCCCGGACCGGGGCACGAACCCGUGUCCCCUGCAUCGGCAGGCGGACUCUCAACCACUGCGCCACCAGGGAAGCCCUGGCCGUGGGUUUUGAUUUGGAGGCCAGGACAGCUGACCUUUCAGAACCAGAGAGAAACCUUUUAUAUUUUGAGGCAGCUGAUUUUCAUUAUUAUUUUUUAGAGGCUCUAAAGCGUCUCUAAAACCAUCUCCUGGACGUAGAACUUCUCUUUGUUUUCCCCUAAUGCUUACUUGGCUUCUGAAAAUGCAUUAAAUCAGUAGUCAUUCUGCUGCUCCCAAAUGUGUCCCACUCCAGCCCCAUCGUCUGGCUGGUGAUGAUUCUCUUUAUCAAUCCCAAGACAGCAGCUGAACCUCCUGCGCGAUCUGGCAUCUCCCCGUCCUCCCCACUCCCCGCCCCCCUGUCCUGCUCGGCCCUCUUGAAUUUAAACUGUCAGCCCUGCAGUGACAGACAUCGCGAGUUGGAGGGGAGGGAGACAGUGCUAUUUAUAAUCCAGCGGAGUUCACCCUCAGAACACGGCCAUUUUUUUCCAGGCCACCUGCCAGAACCCACAUUCUCCAGGCUCCAUAUAUGGGCCUCCCCACAGGCCCCUGUGGCCACAGCCUCACCUCUGAGGGGACCAAGGCAGCCAGGCGACUCAGGAAGGGGUGUUACUUUGUCCGUGAGGAAACUGGGGAGCAGAGAGGUUAAGCCGUGUGUCUACCCCCGAGUCUAUCCGGCUCCUGACCCCCAGUCUCUCCGCUCAUCCAGAACACAGUAGACCUGCAGAAAAUCUUCACUCACGUGGCAGUCCUUCGGCUGAGGCACCCUUUACUUGCCAGCUCUUUUCAGCCUAGGAUGGAUUCCUGAUUCUCUUUUGACUCCGUGGCCUCCGAAACCAGCCCCGAGGGGCCACGAUCCUGUAUCUGCGGCGGUCCCAGGCAUCCCUACCGUUCCUCCUUCGCCUGUGACCAAUAUGGGACUAGCACUUCAGCAGAGGAAAAGCAGCAGCAGGAGUUGAUCAAUUCCUAAGCAACGAAGAUCCUGUUUUCAUGCAAACGUCCUCGGCAUUAAAACAAAAACAAAUUCUUCCCAGGGUGCGUCCUGGAUGCCAAGUCUUCUUGCAAGACACAUUCUGAAGCAAGGUUUUGCGCCUGUGCUAGAGACCGAGGGGGGCUGGGAGGAGAGCUGCGUGCCAAGUGUCGUCUUGAUAUGCUCUCAUUUUAAACUCACAGCCACCCCACGAGCUAGCCCCAGUCGGAUCUCGGCUUGACAGAUAAGGAAACAGGCAGAGAGAAAUGAGGGAACGGGUCCAGUGUCUAUCAGCUGGCGAUGGCAGCCAGGGCACAUGACCAGAUCUGAUUGAAGCUGUAUUGUUUUGGACACAGACACAGGUAUCCACUGCGACUGUAUUCACCUUACAAAGACGAGGGGAUGACCAUGAAUGUUUCAGAUGACUACAGACAAAAUCUUUUUUUCCCCUUAGUGUACUUUUCCCAUCACUUAAAUAAAAAGUGUGCUUUUCCCCUCAAAUAAAAAGAAAGAAGGAU